AAACCACAAGGGGAGCCGAAGCUCCCCCAGAAGUGUUUGCGUGCUCUAUUUUUAUUAUUGGUUUCGGGCUUCUUGUUUUUGUUUAACGCCCUUGUCACCUGGUUAACCCAAGAUGACCCUCCCAAUCGGGAGCCAAGAGCAAACGGAUUGCUUUGGUCGCUGUGUUGCAAUGAUCGAUGAUCCAACCAGUUCAGGCUCUGCCUUAGGGCAGUU
rnacentral:misc_RNA from 2 species